GCGGCAUGGAUUAGGCAUGCAAGUCGAGCGAGAAGGGUUUUGAAGCUUGCUUUAGAACUCGGACAGCGGCGAAAGGGAGAGUAACGCGUAGUUAUGUGCCCUAGGGUCCGGAAUAGCCACGGGAAACUGUGGGUAAUGCCGGAUAAUAUCCCCGGAUCAAAGGUGUGAUUCCGCCCUAGGAGCAGACUGCGUCCUACUAGCUAGUUGGUGGGGUAAUGGCCCACCAAGGCAAUGAUGGGUAGCGGGUGUGAGAGCAUGACCCGUCUCACUGGGACUGAGACACUGCCCAGACACCUACGGGUGGCUGCAGUCGAGAAUCUUCGGCAAUGGGCGAAAGCCUGACCGAGCGAUGCCGCGUGCGGGAUGAAGGCCCUCGGGUUGUAAACCGCUGUCGUAGGGGAGGAAGGUUCCGUGAAGAGCGGGACUUGACCUAUCCUAGGAGGAAGUACGGGCUAAGUUCGUGCCAGCCGCCGCAGUAAAAC
rnacentral:rRNA from 1 species